rnacentral:rRNA from 1 species
CAUAGCGACUAUCGUGGCAUAUCAAUAAGCGGAGGAAAAGAAACUAACAAGGAUUCCCCUAGUAACGGCGAGUGAAGCGGGAAGAGCUCAAAUUUGAAAUCUUAAAGGGUUUCCCUUUACGAAUUGUAGUUUAAAGAAGUGUUUUCUGUUGGAGUUUCGGUAAAAGUUCUUUGGAAUAGGACAUCAUAGAGGGUGAGAAUCCCGUAUUUGACCGUUACUUUCCAGCUGUGUGAUACACUUUCAAAGAGUCGGAUUGUUUGGGAAUGCAGUCCAAGAUGGGUGGUAAAUUUCAUCUAAAGCUAAAUAUUGGCGAGAGACCGAUAGCGAACAAGUACCGUGAGGGAAAGAUGAAAAGAACUUUGAAAAGAGAGUUAAACAGUACGUGAAAUUGUCAAAAGGGAAGCGUUUGACACCAGUGUUGUUUUUCCGAAAAUCAAUUACGAAUGUUUUGUUUUUGAGGAGUUAUGACUUCAUCGGCUUGCUCCUUUCUUUACGAAACUUUCUUAAUGCACUUUUCGGUUAACAAGUCAACAUCAAUUUCUUUUGUUGUAAAAGGGUACGAGGAAGGUGGCUUUCCUUUCGGAGAAAGUGUUUAUAGCCUUGUAGCCUCUGCAAUCGGAGAGAUUGAGGUCUGCAGCGUAGAUCCUUCGGGGUUAGAUACAGUUUGUGCUAAGUUAUAGCUUUUCAUAGACAACUUGUUGACUAUGUUUAGUCUUGUAGCUUACUCGCUGAUGCUAUUUUACCUACGCUUAGGAUGUUGAUAUGCAUGACUGAUAU